GGCUAUUGAAGACACACAACUAGCAUUUUGUUAUUAAUGGAGUAGCCUUUACUCAUUACAUGCUGUUUGAUGCCUACAAAAAUUAUCCCACUCUAAACGCACGAUAUAUAGGCCUAGGCUAUUGUAACGGAUCGCCUGGCACCCCGACUGGGUACCUCCGUUAAAGGAUGCUCCUAGCGCUUCCUGAGGACUCCAAGCACUGCAGCAGACACCACAACCACCGAACCGGAGAAGCAUA